GUGCAACAGAGAGCAAACCGCCGAUGGCCCGCGUAAGCGGGAUCAGGUAAGGGUGAAAGGGUGCGGUAAGAGCGCACCGCGCGGCUGGUAACAGUCCGUGGCACGGUAAACUCCACCCGGAGCAAGGCCAAAUAGGGGUUCAUAAGGUACGGCCCGUACUGAACCCGGGUAGGCUGCUUGAGCCAGUGAGCGAUUGCUGGCCUAGAUGAAUGACUGUCCACGACAGAACCCGGCUUAUCGGUCAGUUUCACUU
rnacentral:RNase_P_RNA from 1 species